rnacentral:rRNA from 1 species
GACGAACGCUGGCGGCGUGCUUAACACAUGCAAGUCGAACGGUGAAGCGCCUUCCUUUUUGGUGGGUGUGGAUGAGUGGCGAACGGGUGAGUAACACGUGAGUAACCUGCCCCCUUCUGCUGGAUAACCGCAUGAAAGUGUGGCUAAUACGGGAUAUUCUGGGUCUGUCGCAUGAUGGGUCUGGGAAAGAUAUUGUUUCGGUGGGGGAUGGGCUCGCGGCCUAUCAGCUUGUUGGUGGGGUGAUGGCCUACCAAGGCGGUGACGGGUAGCCGGCCUGAGAGGGUCGGCGACCCCGGUGCGGAGGCGCGACCCCGACGCCUCCUGCGGGAGGCAGCAGGGAAGAUUACUGAACGAGGGGAGGCAGCAUGAUGCAGCGCCGCCGGGUGGGUGAUGGUGGUCGGCGGGUUGUGAACUUCUAUCGGGAGUGAAGAAGGGUGUCAUCGUUUGUGGGUGGGUUGACGGUAGCUGGACAAAAAGCCCCGGCUAACUACGUG